CUUUUGUUUAAUAAACAAACUAGUGCAAAGUGGACGCUUUCACAAAAUCGCUUAAAUAAACGAUUGCGGUCAAAAUGGAAGCUUCGGCAUUUAUGCAGCAAGAGGAUGGUGUUGAAACCACAAAAAUAUGUCGAUGGUGUCUUACGGAAGGGGAUGCUUUGGAAGCUCUAACGCCCGACGGAUCCGGACAAUAUAAAGUACAAAAAAUCUUCGAUUUUACCGAUCUGCAGAUUGAAUUGUCUCCUGAAGUUCCAUCAUAUUUGUGCACGACGUGCGAAUCGCGCUUGGAAAACAUGGAUACAUUUCGUUGGCGAUGCAAUGAGAACAAUGAUAAGGUCGAUAGAUUUAUCAAACAGCAGAACACAGCGACGGACGUAUCAGAAAUCGCUCAAGACCAUCUUGACCGCUCUGCCGAACAAACAGUUGGCGCAGAAAUGGUAAUUAAAACCGAAGUUUCCUCACCGGGUGCAGCGAAGGAUUUGCAUUUGACUCAGAAGAACUGCACAGCUGGGGACGAACCCUUCGAAGCAGAAGAAAAUCCAACCAAAUUAGAGUAUGUAGA